CUUCUUGCCUGUUCUCACACUGCGCUUCAGAAGUGGGGAAUUCUGACAUUUCUGCAUCUGGCUGCUUGGUUGUCUCAGAGACAGGGUGCUUGGCUGUACACACACAGACAGUGUGUGUCUUUAUACUCCCAUGUAUAUAUUUGUAUCUCUUUCUCCCUGCUUCAUGCUUUUAGUUUGAGGUUGGAAAAGCUCAUGGAAAACAUGAGUGGGUUGUUUUUAUUUUAUGCUAACUGGAGAAUCAGAUUACCAUGCUCGUGGUCCUACGUUCUCCUUGGCAUGGAAGGAAGCUGGUAAAAGGUUAGAAACGCAGGCAAUGGCUGAUGUUCCCCCAGAGAUUGCCAUCACAGAAUGUGCAUGGUGAUGUCUGAUUUCAGUGCUCUGGCUAGAGUUGGUUAGAAGGGCAGCGACCUCACAGGGUGGGAGGUGUGUGUGUGUGUGUGUGUGUGUGUAUGUACAUGUAUGUGUGUGUGUUAGUGUUUUCUUCUCCAGGAGGUUUGAUGUCUGAAUGCUUUAGGCAAUUCUUAGUAGGUGUAUCAGAUUACAAAAGAGAGACUGAGGCAGCUUUGGGCUUCUACCUCCUGGGUCGGCGGUGAGGAUUCAACUUUCAGUGGGAAGGAAAGUGUUCUCAGGUUCUACAGGUGUUUCUCCCAGUCUCUCCAAGGUCAAUAUUAUCUGUCAGUGACAGUCAAGUCAACUUCCUUGCAAGCGCGGCCAUGCUAAUGGCUUCUCUUAGUGGAUCAGAACUUACUCCUAGUUGUUACCCCUUGAUCAGCCCCAGCACCCCUGCUCACAUUUGCGUUUCCCUUCACAUAAAGCCUGAGCACAGAAUUGGAAAGUCUGGUAGUGGCAUUGAGUGCGCAGCUUCAAGUUCAAGGGGUAAUAAGAAAGAAGGCACUCCUGUGGUGCUCCAGACACCUGGCCAUACAGGAAUGAGGGUGAACUUCAAGGAGAUGUUCUAUUGACCACAGCCACAGAUUUUAGCUUUCAUGGGACUCACCUGUUCGUUGAUCGAGUACCUUGUUGCCGGUUUGUGAUUCCCUUUCUGUUUAUUUCUCAGGGUACUCUACAUUCUCCACUUCUGACAGCCCUUCUAUCCUUUCUUUUCCUUUUCUGUUCUUUCUAUUGAAUAACAAAUACCACUUAUUGGGCAUUUUCAUGUGAUGCUCUGGGCCUGGCAUAUAUAUAUAUAUUCAUAUUCUGUGAGGAUAUAUAUAUUAUAUAUAAAUCUGUGGAUAGGGAGAGCUCUGUCUUACAGUGACCAAACUCAGCCUUGGUGAGUUUAAAUAAAUUGCUCUCUGUCACGCAAAUGCCAAGUGGUAGCACAGACAAUUGAAGCCUCGUUUAGAACUCUACAACACAGGAAGUUAUCCUGCCCUCUCCUUUCAUUUCCUACCAAUGCCUUUGUUUCUCUGCCUUCUGCUUCCUCUUUGUGUUUCCCAUGUUAGUAGGAGAGUCACACUUUUGCUCAACCAGAGCCCUUUUAGAGUCCUACUUUCUGGAAUAAUAUUGUAGCCCAACUUUUCUCAGUAUGUCUUGGAGUCUUUUGUUUUUCUAGACUAUUUCCUGGCUUCCACUAAUCUUUCAAUGAUGUCUACGACAUUCACCACCUGUGCCCGGGAAAAGUGGAAAUACAGUCACUUUAGCCAUCUGGAGUUGACUGGGGAGGAAAACUCACCCCCAUAAGGAGCUCUAUAUCUUCCUGGGACCCCUGGCUUUCUUCCCUUCUGUGAGCAUCAGUCACUAGAUGGCGAUCUAAGCACACAGACAUGAGAGAAUCUACCAUUCCUCCAACUUCACGCUUCCACCAAUGUCUGCCCACCCUGUCUAGCACAUAUGGUACACAGACACUGGCCAGGUGGGGCUUCUCGGGCUUAUUCAGAAUUUUCCAUCUCAAUGCCCAAGUCCUUACUUGGGACUCAAAAGAACCUCUGGGAGAAGUCUGGGGAGCACAUGCCUUAAAUAGCAAUUAGGGGACACAUUUGCAUGCACACCUCUCCCCUCUCUGAUUCUAGCUGGUGAUUGAAGAAGUCAGCAUUAAAACAUCCCCAUUUACGUCUUUCCAUUCUUCUUCAAUCUAAGAAAGAAACAAACAGUUUGUGCAGGGCAGGUGAGUGGGCAGAGAUGGAAGGGAAUCUGAGAGGGAGAGAUUGAUGCUGAGUCAGAAAAAGGGAAGAAGAAUAAUAUUGAAAACUGAAUUUUAGAAAUGCAAACCUGGGGAUUCACUGGCAGGAAAUUACCUGACUUUGAUGGUGUAGUAAUUUGGGGGAAGGAAAGGAAAAUAGUUUUCCAACCUGAAUUGCUUUAGAGAAACUAGGGUUAGGGUAGCUAUUUGAUGAGUAGUUAUUGGAGUGAAUGUGAGGAGGCAUCCAGAGAGGGGUACAGUAACUAGCCAGUCCACGCAGAUCUAAGCUUCAGGAAUCUGGGACCAAGACUGAAGGAGCAAACACACUUCCCCAGGCACAUGGGGGACACCAGGGUUUCUGUCCCAUGCAGAGGGUUGUCUUGCGCAAAGUAACCCUGAGUAGAUGUUAAUGAACUGAAUUGAAACCAUUGUUCUAUUGUCUCAAAGAAUGAUUUAAAGGAAAAAAUAAUGGGCUCUUCGAUGUGGUCUUCGAGGGAAACUAUCUCUUCUGCUCUGAGAUGAUCAGCACUCUCCUCACAUCCACCCACCAGAAAAUUUGCACGGCCAUUUGAUCACAUCUUUGUGGUGCAGACAGAGUUUUCACAUCCAGGGUGUGGUCUGUGCUUUUGCUUUCCACUUGCAGACCUUUGUGAAAUGCUCUGUCUUGAGCUGCAUUUACAUCCUUCAGAAUGCAAAAGAACUCUGCCUCUUUCUCAUAUUCAGAGCGUAGGAAGAACUAAAGAAGUCGCAGCAAGGCAGAGGGGAAGCCCUCAGUGACUGCUAACUGAGGAUUCUGCUGCAGCCCAGGGAGAUGCUGAGAAAGGGUCUUUAUGCCACGUGUCCACAUUCAGCUCAUUCUUCAACGUCCAGGCCCCGGAUCACCUCUUCCUCAGAAUUUUCCCAGAAGCCCAAUCCAAACCCCUCUCCCUCCUGCAAGCAGGGAUUCUGCAGAGCGUCAUGCAGCUGAUCCUGUCCUUCACUUAUGGGUUCUUGUUCUCCCAGGCAGGGCUUCACUCUCUGACAGCCUUCAGUAACCUGACCUUGUUGUGCACCCUUCUUAUUCUGGUAUAUGGUUAAGGCAUUGAAAGUGUAAGUCCAUGUCAAUCAAAUAGUUAGAAAGACAGAUGGCAAAACACUAGAAGGCAACUUAAUUAUCCCUUUAAAGAAGGAAAGAACAGCAGAAAAAAAUCUGCACCACUACUGAACCAGAGGUUCUCUUUAGCUGUAGAAAUUAAAUAACCGAAGAAACAGGAGACAUAGCACUAUAAAUAAUGAAGAUUAAACCUUGUAAGACCUUGCACUGAAUUAUGCAAUUACGAAAUUCACUUGCACUGACUUAUGCAAUUAUGAAACUGAGUUAAAAUAUUUUAUGACAGUAAUAUUAAUCUUCAUUUUAUUCAGUCAUUGGAAAACUGUUGAUGGAGCAUCUUGAUGUGUUGGACAUUAUUCCAGUGUUAGGAACAGCUGCAGACAAACUGAAUUGAGUCUCUGCUCUGGAGGGACUCACAUUCCAUUAACAAGACAGAAAAAUAGAUAUCAGGUAGUGAUAAGUACUCUGAAGAAAAGCAAUUACAGUUCAGGGAAAGGGAAUGGUAGCAAGUGAAAAAGCAAAGGUGGUGUUUAAGAUAAAGCAAUCAGCAUUAGCAAGGGCUGAUGUUAUCAAAGUAGCUAUACAUUGCAUGUAAAAGAGUCUUGGGCAUACCUUCAAUUUUUUUUUAUUUAUUUAUUUGAAAGAUUUACACAGAAAGAGGAGAGAAAGAGGGAGAGAGAGAUCUUCCAUCCGCUGGUUCACUCCCCAAUUGCUGCAACAUUCGGAGCUGCGUCCAUCUGAAGCCAGGAACUUCCUCCAGGUUGGCACAGGAGGUUCCUAUUUCUUUUUCUUGUCCUUAUCAUCCUUCUUGCCACCCUGAGGACCACGGUCACCACUCUGACUUUGAUCCACCUAGACUCUGCUGCUCAAACCAUCGCUGCCAGAAAUGCAUCACCUCUACUGCCCAGCAGAAGCAGAAGUUAGAUCCUUGAAAAGCUGAAGAGAGAGAGAGAGAGAGAGAGAAUGAAUUUCCAAUCUGCUGUUUCAUUCCUCAAAUGCCUGCAACGGUCAGUGCUGGGCAAGGCUGAAUCCAGAAGCCCAAAACUCCAUUUGAUUUUUCCACAUGGAUGGCAGGGGCCUAAGAUCUCAAGUCAUUGUCUGCUGUUUUUUGGGAUGCAGCAGCGGGAAGCUGGAUCUGAAGCAGAGUAGCCUGGACUUGAACUGGCACUUGAAAAUGAGAUGUGGGUGUCACAAGCUGCAGCUUAACCCACUGCAGCAAAAUACUGGCCCUGGCUUGGGUUAAUUUUAACCCUUAUCUCAGGAUUAAAUUACUGUUGCAUAAGAAGAAACUUUCGCACUUUCAAAGACAGCCCUUUACAACAAUCUGAAAGCAAAAAUGGGAGAGGCAUUAUAUUAAUUCUUGAAUUAUUUAAACGUCCUCACCUUUCACAAAUCCACAGCAAAACUAGCAGCUGCAUGUAAACUUCCAGUGGGGGGAAGUAUAAGCCUCUUGCAUCAGCAGCUUCAUAGAAAUCUUAGCUAAUUACAUUAGUUAAUGAAAUUAUUACUGUUGCAUUAAUUACAUUAUUACAUUAAUUACUUAGCAUUAAUGUAAUGUGUUAUUAUGUAUGUUAGAAAGUAUCUCGAUUUUGCUCAUUAAAUGCAAUUAUGGGUGACUAGGGGUCAUAUUUUGGGGAAAUUCAACAUACAUAGAGUAGGGUAUUUACCCCUAAGCUAGAUCUGGGCCAGGUCUCCCUGUGAUCUCUUCUGUGUGAACUCUGACCUGGCCUCUUGAUCUGCCUCUAGAGCUUUGGAGUCUAGCAUAUGUGUUUGAGGAGAUUAACUUGAAUCAAAUUCUCUUUCUAUAAUUCUCAGAAGUAUCAUCUAGGGUUCUUAAAGUAAAUCUCACCCUACUCCAUACUCCAGCUUAAUGGUGUGUGAUUUACCAAGAGAAAGGGCCCCAGAUACACUCAACCUCCAGUUUAGUAGAAGCCAAUGUAGUUCCCCACUACUCAGAGAGACGUGGGUGGUCAUGAAAUCCUGGGGCUGAGGUGAAGGCUUAGGUCUUAUCAUAAUUGAGCUAGAACUUUGGAGCAGUCACAAGAAUAGAACAGAGUUCAAAGACCAGCCCUAGAUGCCAGGCAGCCUUUGAAAACCUUCUUGGCACCUUUCUUGCCCUUUAUGGAAUUCACUGCUCCAAUCUUGCCUACAAAGAUGCUGACUUUGUGACCAUGGCAGCAAGGUGAAGCUUUGGAAGAACAGGCCCUGAGGUUCCAUUCCCCUUCCUGGGAGCUCUUCACAAAUUCGUUCUCACUGGGAGAAAGGGCUUAACCUCUGGCUGCCUCCAUUUAUUAUAUAAUCUGUUCAUCACUGAGAGUCCAAACCUAGGAGCUGGUUGCUUAUUUGGAGCAAGAGAGUUUGAAAUCCUGUACUUUGAAUUCUUUAAAAGCUCAUCUGAGUAGUUUGGUGUCAUUUCCCUCUAUACUGAUAAAUUCAUGCCAGAUGUUUUUAUUUGAUGUGAUAACUUUUGUAUGAGGUAAUAGGACAAAGUCUUCAGCUACCCAUCUUGGCUCCUACUUAAUUUGUUCUCCUUGCCUGAGGAGUAAGUAGUCCAUUUCCAUGUUUGCCACUGGCUCUAAACAAUUGCAGCACAAGCCCUGGGAGUUGCUCUGUGGGACAUACCAAGACAGUGUCUCACACUCCCUGGAGUGCAUCUUGGAAAUGUGAUGAAGUUCAGAAAUAUGUAGACCCUGCUAUCUGUUUUAGUCAUUCAGACACCAUGUGAGGGCUGGCAAAAAAGUGUUCUUAUUCCCCAAAUAUUCCCUGGCAUGUAUUUGUGUAGUAAAAUUAUGUUUUGGGCUUACAGUUAGGGUUUUGAAAAUGAACAUCUGUUAUUAUCUUUCAGUUUAGAAGUUCUGAAUCCAGCUGGGCAGGGCCACUUGGCUCCUACCUCCAUCUCAGUAGAGUUGCAAAUGAAGCCUGUCACCCAUCAGCUGCUUGUUGACUGGCUGACCAGCUGCCACUCAUCUCCCACAUCUGUUUUGGCUUUGAGAAGCCCAAGGGCUGGGGAGAGGGUCAGGGUCAGCUUGUUCUGUGCAUGCAGCCCCUGGGAGAUCCAGGAGCAGGGAGAUUUUACAAAGCUGGUCUGAUCCCCCCUGAGUGAAUGUUAAAGGCAUGGCCCUGGAUGGGUGUGAAGCAGGCAGAGGGUCUGGCACUUAGCUUGUAGGAUGAUAAGCCAGAGUAGCUUAGUUUCAAAGCCAUUGUUUUUACCACCUGGUGUCUUCCCUAUUUCCAUGAGAUGAUAUUAUAAUAUGAUCUGUUCUAAGGCAAAUGUAGUUACAAAGAGUGCUUCAUUUCCACCAAGAAAAUACAGUAUUUGGCUCCAGUCUAUGAGUUCCAUAUCAUUCAGAGGAGGGAAUAAAUUUCCUGCAUGUCUCAAUAUCACCAGUUACAAAAAUACUUCAACUCCCUUAGACCACUCCAACAGAGACAGCUUCUGAACCCUGGAUUUCAAGAGGGUCAAAAGAAAAGACUAAAAGCUCUCCAAACUCUUCAGCAAAAUUCUAUCUACAGUUAUGAUGAUCCAUCAGCAUGCACUUGUAGAUAACCGUCGCUGACUCACAGCCCCAGCUGUAUUAUUUUCUUGCUCAAUAGCCUUUAAUGGCUCACAGCUGUCAAAGAUACAGCUUGCACUCAUGGUCAUUUAUGGUCUGACCUCAAACCUCUUGUCCAAACUCUUAUUACCAACUACUGCCAUUAAAGCCUUUCACACUAACCAAAUGCACCACAUGCUGUCAUUGCUGUCCCUUAUUCUCACACUUCUGUGCUUUUUCUUAUUGUUCCCUGAUCUCAAAUCCGAAUACUUCCUCAUUGUCCUGGCCCAGCUCAAAUGCAUCUGCUUUAUAGUUUUCUCUGAGUCCAUCCAUUGGAGUGAGCCUUUGUCCUCUCUAAAUACCUUACCCCAUCCAUUCAAAAUACCUGUUGGUGCUUCUACCUAAAAUUUCUGUUCAUAGUGUUUUGUGCUCUACCUUCCUUCAAGAAGGGCAAACAGAAUCUAUGUCUAAUUAAUAUUUCUACUUUCUCCAGGGCUUUUCAACUUGUACAAGUUGACAAAUGUUUGUUAUAAAUAUAGCAAUACAUUUUGUAGAGGGCUUUUGAAUUUGCAAAGUGAAUCCAUGCUCAUUACUUCACUUAAUUCACAUAAGUGAAAGUAGAAAGACAGGUGUUCUCUUUAUUACAAAUAAGAGGGAACAUUUAGUCAGAAUUGACUUUAACUUAUUUAUUAAACUAUUAUUUGCAUUAUUAUGAAUGUCUUUCUCUUCUGCCGUAUUGUUAAACUCUGGGAAACUAAGAACCAAUCUGUUUUUACACUGUUGUAUUUUCAAAGCCUAGCACAGUGCUAGACAUAGUGUAAAAACUCAGGAAACAUUUGUUGAAUGAGUGAAUGAAUGAACACUACGAGCUAAGCAGUCACUGAGUGUACUAUAUACACUACAGUAAUUUUAAUCUCACAGCACGUGUUACCUUCAUUUCACGGUUGUGGAAAUGUAGGCUCCAGGACAUGUGUUGCUUUGCAUGCAGCUGGAAUUGAAACUCAGAUCUUGUGAUUAUAGAUAGCAUAUGUUUUUCCAUUACACCACAAGCCUUACAUGAGGUACCUUUAUGUUGUUUUUGUUUUUUCCUAAUUGCUUUAUAAUUCUAUAAAAGAAGGAAAUUUUCAAACAUUACCUUAGUUCAUUUUUAAAAUAUGUCUGUGUUCAUUACAGACACCAGAGUUGCAAACCAGUGGUUAGGGUAUUAAUCCCCACCAUCCAGUACAAUAGUAUCAUUGUGGGAGGGAGCAUGGGCAUGCAGUCUUGGACGGGAGGGGAUUAUUUUCCCAAGGUUUCUCUGGCUCUAUAGUCAUUUGCUGUUUUCCUCUAAAAGAAAGAACUGUUUUGAUCUAGAAGUCAAAAAUUUUAUUUGUAUAGCAAUUUAUUUUAUGCUAAUUGGACCAGAGGAAUACUCACUGUUACAAGUUGAUGAUUCACUUUGAAGAGAGGAGACAAAUGUGAGCCAAUUGAUGUCAUCACGCCAGGACUUCGUUUAGGUGAAUAGCUGAUGAGCUCAAUUCACAAUGGCUAAGAGAUGGAAUCAACCCAAAUGUCCAUCAACUGAUGACUGAAUGAAGAAAUUGUGGUGGAUUCCAAGAUGGCUGAAUAGGGAAAAGUGCUGAUUUUGACCAGAGGAGAUAACAGAAGAAAAGCAGAAGAGCAUUUGUGGGGGAGAGAUGGAGACAGGUUUGCAGUGGAAAUUCUACAGAAAGAAGAGAGAUGCUGUGGAGCAGCAUGGAAAGUACAGACAUUCAUCAGCGAGCGGGGACAGCACCUGUGACUCCUGCGGCCAGGGGCUGGAGGAGACACCAGUUUCUAAAAACGAGGUGAGAGCAGACCAUGGCAGCCAGUGUCACUGAUGAUGUUGCCUAAGGGAGAACCUUGUGGAUCACACUGACUUGAGUCUGGCCUGGAGCCCUUAUGGGGCACAGUGAAAGAAAAGCAUAUUUCUGUCUCCCCAUAACCCAACAAGGGCACCUGGAUACCAGCUGAGGGAAAGUGCUGGCUUAAUGCCAGUAGAGGCUGCAGCUGCGCUCUCUCCUGUGAACAGGGGAUUUUACCAGAGGGAAAAAUCUGCCUUUCCAUCUGACUUUGAGUCUGUCCUUGGGGAUGGGCAGGGGGCUGGGCACCUACUUAUGAAUGUGAAGCACUUCCACCCACCCACAUCACCCUAUCGCAGGCUCCAUUGCUCAAACUGCCAAGGUGGAGCACCUAUGGCAGCUGAUUGUGGGAAGGCCUCAGGUCUCUCAAUGGACAGGGCGGGUACAUGGGCUUGCGAGUGGAUCUCUUAUACCCUGUGACUGGGAGCCUUGGUGUACUAUGAUUGUGCGAGUUCUGUGACUGCAUGAUAGAGCAUGGGGUAUAGCUGGGCCUCUAGGCAAUUAUUCUGUCUAGCCUCAGGGGCUCAGAACUACCUGAUUUCCUGGGUUGGGUCUUUGCAGAGGGUCCCAUGCUCACACUGAGGACUACAUAGUUCCUUUGGUGGCUCCUACACCUGCGUGGAUGGGGGAUUAUAGCCACUGUGGGAUAAACUCAGGCAUUGAUUGCCUUGGAAAAGAGGAGGUGAGGCUGUGAUUAUGCCAACAGAUGUGAUCACACUCUCUUCCACGCUGACAAUAGAGGUGAUCUAUGCUGAAAUUGAGUGUCACCUUGGAUUCUCACCAAAUCCUUGAGCACUGACCAGAGCUCCCUCAACUCACCGAGCACACACCUCUGGAUAUCCACUGAAGGAGCAGACACUCCAAAAACCCACAGAGACAUAGUUCAAAGAUAAAAGCCAUCAGAGGAGAAAACCAAGUAUUUCCAAAAAUGCCUAAAAAUAAACACAGAAAAACAAGAAACAAGGAAGACAAUAUGACUCCCCUAAAGAAAGAUGAGAACAAGUUUGUGGACUCAAAAGGUUUCCAUAGCCUUGGCAGCUCAUGACUAGAGCUUUGGGUGAUCACUGACAUCAUAAAUAAGAGGGUCAAUUAUGAAAUCAACAACAGGAGUCUCUGUGCACUUGCUUCCCAUGUAGGACCUUUGUCCUUAAUGAGUUGUACUAUGAGAAUUAAUGGUAAAACUUAUCUUCAAACAGUACUUUAUACUUUGUGUGUCUGUGUAGCUGCACAAUGUUGAAAUCCUUACUUUGCAUAGAGUUGAUCUUAUGUAUAUAAAGAUAAUUAAAAAUGAAUCUUAAUGAAGAAUGGGAUGGGAGAGGGAGUAGUAGGUAAGAUGGGAGUGGGGGUGGAAGGGCAAGUAUGGGGAGAAGAACCUCUAUAUUCCAAAAGCUAUACCUAUGAAAUUUAUAUUUAUUAAAUAAAAGAUUUCUUAAAAAAAAGAAACAUGACAACACUUCAAUAAUACAAUGCAAGAAUGAAGAGACUGAUGAAAUGCCUGAAAAGGAAUUCAAAAGAAUUAUCAUAAGUUUACUCAGAAACACAGAUAAGCAAAUUCAUGAAGUAAAGAAAUCAUACAUAAUACAGAUGAAAAAUUUUGCCAAGCGAGAUAUGGAAGAUAAAUCAAACUGAAAUGUUAGAAAUGAAGAAUUCAAAUUGUCAAACAGAAAAUUCAAGGGAAAGCCUCAACAACUGACUUAGUGAAGCUAAAGAAAGAAUAUCUGAGCUGGAAGACAAAUCCUUAGAAAUGUCUCAAUCAGACAUAAAAAAAAAGAAGAAAAAAUUAGAAAAACUGGAAAUAAGGUUCUUUUUUGGGAUACUAUCGAAUGAUCAAAUAUAUGUGUCUCAGGUGUUCCUGAAAGUGUGGAAACAGAGAAUGGAUUAUUAGGCCUAUUAAGUGAAAUAAUAGCAGAAAAAUUCCCUAAUUUUAGGAAAGAAAGGGCCAUCUAAGUAGAGGAAGUAGAUAGAACACAGUACAUAGUACACAGACACAAUCAGGAAAAGACCAUCACCACGACACAUUUUGGUCAAACUUUCAAUAGUGACACAUAAACAAAAGAUUCUAAAAUGUGCAUGGAAGAAAUGCCAGGUUACCUUCAGAGCAUUUCCAAUUAGACUAACAGUUGAGUUCUCAUCCCAGAAUAUUGUACCCAGCAAAGCUCUUAUUUGUUAAUGAAGGUGAAAUAAAGACCUUCCAAAACAAACAGAAACUGAAAGAAUUUGUCACCAUUCAUCCAGUCUUAUAAAUGAUGCUCAAGGAUAUGCUACACACAGAAAUACAGAUAGUCAUCAUUAUGAAAAAAUGUGAAGGCAGAAAAUCUCCUAGUCAAAGUAAAGUAAAUCCAAAGCAAACAAUAGGAAUAUUUAUGGAAAAAUGGCAGCACAAAAUCAUUGCUUAUCAAUAAUAAUCUUGCAUAUAAAUGGUCUAAAUUCUCUGAUUAAAUAAGAUACAGACUGGAUGAAUGGAUUAAAAAUUAAGACCACCUAUUUGCUGCCUACAACAAACACACCUCACUAAGAAAGAUGCACACAGACUGAAAGUGAAAAGAUAGAAAAAGAUGCCCAUGUUAAUGGAAAGUAAAAACAGGCUUUUUUUUUUUUCAAACAAAAUAGACUUUAACACAAAAACUAUUCAAAGAGACAAAGACUACCAUUAUGUAAUGAUUAAGGGAUCAAUUCAACAGGAAAAUGUGACUAUCAUAAAUGUAUAUGUACCCAACUCCAGGGUGCCUGGCUAUUUAAAACAAAUGUUAAUGGCUCUAAAGGGAGACAUAGACUCUAAUAUGAAAGUAAUGGGGAACUUCAACACCUCACUUUCAUCAAUGGACAGAUUAAUUAAACAAAACAUCAGUGAAGAACUACACAAGGACCAAAUUGACCUAACUGAUAUCUAUAGAACAUUUCAUCCCACAGUUGCAGAAUACACAUUCUUUUCAUUAGUCAUGAAACUUUCUCUAGGAUAGACCAUUCGCUAGGCCAUAAAGCAUGUCUCAGCAAAUUCAAAAAAAUUCAAAUCAUGCCAUGCAUCUUUUCUGAACACAAUAUAAUGAAGCUGGAAACUGACAAUCUAAGAAUCUCCAGAAAAUAUCUAAACACAUAGAGACUGAACAACACUCUAAUGAAUGAACAGUGUGUCAUAGAAGAAAUCAAAAGGAAAAUCAAAAAAUUCCUGGAAACAAAUAAAGAUGAUAAUACAGUAUAUCAAAACUUAAGGGAUACAGCAAAAACAGUAUUAAGAGGAAAGUUUCUAGCAAUUAGUGCCUACAUCAAGAAAUUGGAAAUGCAUCAAAUAAAGAGCUAAUAAUGCAGCUCGAGGUCCUGUAAAAAUAACAACAAACCAAACCCAAAAUUAGCAGGGGGAAAGAAACAGUUAAAAUUAGAAAAGAAAUUUAAAAAUUGAAGUCAAAAAGUGAUACAAAAGAUCAAUGAGAGGAAGAGCUGUUUUUUUAGAAAAAUAAACAAAAUUGAUACACCAUUGGCCCAACUAACCCCCCCCAAAAGGAAAGACCAAAUCAAUAAAAUCAGAUAUGAAAAAGGAGAUGUAAUACAUAUACUACAGAAAUAAAAAGAAUCAUCAGGAAUUACUACAAAUGGCUGUGUGCCAACAAAUUGGAAAACCUAGCAAAAAUGGGUGGAUUCCUGGACACAUACAAUCUGCCAAAAAUUGAGUCAUGAAGACAUUGAAAACCUAAACAGACCAAUAACCAAGACAGAGAUUGAAUCAGUAAUAAAGACCCUCUGAACAAAGAAAAGUCCAGGACCAGAUAGCUUCAUUGCUGAAUUCCAUCAGACUUUUAAAGAACUCAUUAUAAUUCUUCUUGAACAUUUCAAAACAAUUAAAAAGGAUGGAAUCCUCCCAAACUUGUUCUGUGAGGCCAGCAUCACCUUAAUUCCAAAACCAGAAAAGGAAACAACAAAGGAAGAGAACUAUAGACCAAUAUCACUAAUGAACAUAGAAGCAAAAAAUUUUUCAACUUAAUACUAGGUAGUCAAAUCCAAAACACUUCAGACACAUUAUUCACUAUGGAUCAUGUGGAUUUAUCCCUGGUAUGCAGGGAUGUUUCAACAUUCACAAAUCAAUAAAGGUGAUACAUCACAUUAAAAAAUUGAAGAAUGGGCUUUUCAUGCCUGAAAAGCCCAUGAGAGUAUUUCAGGCAUGGAAAGCCAAGACACUCUGGAAAAAAAAAAAAAAAAAAAAACCUAAAUGAAAGAUCUCUGUGAGUGAGAUCCCAGUGGAAAGAACAGGUCUUCAAAGAAGGAGGUACCUUUCUCUGAAGGGAGGAGAGAACCUCCACUUUGAAUAUGACCUUGUCUAAACAAGAUAAGAGUUGGUGAACUCAAAAGGCUUCCAUAGCCUUGGAAACUCAUGACUGGUGCAUAGGGAGAUUACUGAUGCCAUAAACAGGAGUGUCAA